rnacentral:rRNA from 1 species
ACGUUAGCGGCGGACGGGUGAGUAACACGUGGGUAACCUACCUAUAAGACUGGGAUAACUUCGGGAAACCGGAGCUAAUACCGGAUAAUAUUUCGAAUCGCAUGGUUCGAUAGUGAAAGGUGGUUUUGCUAUCACUUAUAGAUGGACCCGCGCCGUAUUAGCUAGUUGGUAAGGUAACGGCUUACCAAGGCGACGAUACGUAGCCGACCUGAGAGGGUGAUCGGCCACACUGGAACUGAGACACGGUCCAGACUCCUACGGGAGGCAGCAGAC